rnacentral:rRNA from 1 species
CGAUGAUGCAUAGCCCCGAGUUGAGAGACUGAUCGGGCCACAUUGGGGACUGAGACACGGGCCCAAAACUCCUACGGGGAGGCAGCAGUAGGGAAUCUUCCACAAUGGACGCAAGUCUGAUGGAGCAACGCCGCGUGAGUGAAGUAAGGGUUUCGGCUACGUAAAGCUCUGUUGUUGGUGAAGAAGGACAGGGGUGGUAACUGACCUUUGUUUGACGGUAAUCAAUUAGAAAGUCACGGCUAACUACGUGCCAGCAGCCGCGGUAAU